CGUUUGCUCACAGUCGGCAGCUGGAAGGCAGAGGCCAGGGCCAGCCUGGCUGGGCACCGCUUUCAGGUGGCAGAUUUUCUGUUCUAGCAUCACAUGGCAGGGACGAGGGGACUCUGAGGCUCUCUUCACUAGGAGCACUAUCCCAUUCUUGGUCAGCCCCACCCUCAUGAUGUAAUGGGGGUUAGGAUUUCAAGAGCUCCCUGAAGCCACUCCAGGGAAGUCAGGAGUGAGACGCCCACAUCUGAUAAUCACCUCCAGCACCCCCACAGUCAAGAACUCAGAUCAUCAUGAAUAUUUACACCUAGCAAGGCCCUUUGUGCACGACUCUGAGAGACAAAUGGUGUUCCAUGGUCCCCAGAAUUAGGGAGAGCUGGUUCUACUUUCCUAGCUGUGUAACACAAGGUGAGUGACUCUUUCACUACAAAUUCAUUUUUCAUCCGAGAAAUGGGGGCCUACAGCACACAGAGACUCGCUCCUAGCUGGACCCCAGUUGAGAUCCUGUCCCAUCCUGGGCUGUCAGACCGAGACUCAACGCACUUCUUGGAAGUGUCCUGAAUUUAAUGACAUCAAAUCAAAGAACAAACCACCUCUCAGUGUCCAGAUACCCAUCAUUUGGAAGGCAGCCAGGAAUUGCUGUGAGGACCUAAUUCAUUCUGGAGACAUUCAUUACCUGUCUCCCUGGAUGACUUCUCCCUAGAGAUUUCUGCAAACCCUGCCGCCAGUCAGGACACAAUUUUGAACAUGCCAACUUUUACUGGCCUGGCAGGAGCGGGGAGACUCGUCAUGUUGGGGCUUCAGGCCAAGCAGCAUGCGCUAGCUUUGAGGGGAGCCGGUGCCACUGCAGGAAGCAUCCUAGUUCGCACGUUGAUAAAUGCUGCCAGCAGGAACUCAAGAGCCUGGGCAGAGCUGCUGUGCUGUGUUUAAUGCUUCCCUGGUUAAAGUUUCAUCAGGUGCUGAAGACAGCGGGAGCCCAUAAAGCAAAUCUGAAAUCCUUUCCAAGUAAAAGCAAAAGUGCUUUCCAUGAGGAUUACACAGAUAUGAUAAUUUAUGGAGAUAAGCUGGCAUGUAUCUUUUAUUUCUAAUCAUAUCCACCGCAUAAAUGCUUGGGUUUCCCAAAUACUGAUUUAAAGGAAUAAUACCUAGUUGGGUAUACAGGGGCCGCUGAUCUGCCCUCAGCUAAGAUAAGGAGAUUAAACAAUUAUUUCGGAGGAAAG